UACGGGGGGGGCAAGCGUUGUUCGGAAUUACUGGGCGUAAAGGGCUCGUAGGCGGCCAACUAAGUCAGACGUGAAAUCCCUCGGCUUAACCGGGGAACUGCGUCUGAUACUGGAUGGCUUGAGAUUGGGAGAGGGAUGCGGAAUUCCAGGUGUAGCGGUGAAAUGCGUAGAUAGUCUGGAGGAACACCGGUGGCGAAGGCGACACCCUGGACCAACACUGACGCUGAGGAGCGAAAGCCAGGGGGAGCAAACGGA
rnacentral:rRNA from 1 species